UCUUCUUCUUAUCAAAUAAAAAAAUACAUUUUAUUUUUAUUUUAAAAUGUUACUUAAAAUAUUGGGCAAAUCUCCAAAAUAGCACAUUUCUAAGUUUAUAUCACAAAAAUAGCACUCAAAAACUAAAAUGACCAAAAUAACAUUUUAUCUUUUGAAAAUUUUAAUCUUUUUAUUUUUCAAAAUUUGAAAUCUUAUCCCCGAAACUUCAUUUCUCAACUCUAAACCCUAAACCCUAAACUCUAAACCCUAAACCCUAAACCCUAACUCUAAACCCUAAACCCUAAACCCUUAACUCUAAACCCUAAACUCUAAACCCUAAAUCCUAAACCCCACCUUUUAACUCUAAACCCUAAGUUUG
rnacentral:lncRNA from 1 species